UACGAACGCUGGCGGCAUGCCUAACACAUGCAAGUCGAACGAGAUCUUCGGGUCUAGUGGCGCACGGGUGCGUAACGCGUGGGAAUCUGCCCUUUGGUUCGGAAUAACAGUUGGAAACGACUGCUAAUACCGGAUGAUGACGAAAGUCCAAAGAUUUAUCGCCAGAGGAUGAGCCCGCGUAGGAUUAGCUAGUUGGUGUGGUAAAGGCGCACCAAGGCGACGAUCCUUAGCUGGUCUGAGAGGAUGAUCAGCCACACUGGGACUGAGACACGGCCCAGACUCCUACGGGAGGCAGCAGUGGGGAAUAUUGGACAAUGGGCGAAAGCCUGAUCCAGCAAUGCCGCGUGAGUGAAGAAGGCCUUAGGGUUGUAAAGCUCUUUUACCCGGGAUGAUAAUGACAGUACCGGGAGAAUAAGCUCCGGCUAACUCCGUGCCAGCCGCCGCAGUAAGAC
rnacentral:rRNA from 1 species